UGGGGCGUCGCCAAGCGGUAAGGCACCAGACUCUGACUCUGGCAUUCAUGGGUUCAAAUCCUAUCGCCCCAA
rnacentral:tRNA from 1 species